rnacentral:rRNA from 1 species
UGGUGCUUGCAUCAUGAUUUACAUUUGAGUGAGUGGCGAACUGGUGAGUAACACGUGGGAAACCUGCCCAGAAGCGGGGGAUAACACCUGGAAACAGAUGCUAAUACCGCAUAACAACUUGGACCGCAUGGUCCGAGCUUGAAAGAUGGCUUCGGCUAUCACUUUUGGAUGGUCCCGCGGCGUAUUAGCUAGAUGGUGGGGUAACGGCUCACCAUGGCAAUGAUACGUAGCCGACCUGAGAGGGUAAUCGGCCACAUUGGGACUGAGACACGGCCCAAACUCCUACGGGAGGCAGCAGUAGGGAAUCUUCCACAAUGGACGAAAGUCUGAUGGAGCAACGCCGCGUGAGUGAAGAAGGGUUUCGGCUCGUAAAACUCUGUUGUUAAAGAAGAACAUAUCUGAGAGUAACUGUUCAGGUAUUGACGGUAUUUAACCAGAAAGCCACGGCUAACUACGUGCCAGCAGCCGCGGUAAUACGUAGGUGGCAAGCGUUGUCCGGAUUUAUUGGGCGUAAAGCGAGCGCAGGCGGUUUUUUAAGUCUGAUGUGAAAGCCUUCGGCUCAACCGAAGAAGUGCAUCGGAAACUGGGAAACUUGAGUGCAGAAGAGGACAGUGGAACUCCAUGUGUAGCGGUGAAAUGCGUAGAUAUAUGGAAGAACACCAGUGGCGAAGGCGGCUGUCUGGUCUGUAACUGACGCUGAGGCUCGAAAGUAUGGGUAGCAAACAGGAUUAGAUACCCUGGUAGUCCAUACCGUAAACGAUGAAUGCUAAGUGUUGGAGGGUUUCCGCCCUUCAGUGCUGCAGCUAACGCAUUAAGCAUUCCGCCUGGGGAGUACGGCCGCAAGGCUGAAACUCAAAGGAAUUGACGGGGGCCCGCACAAGCGGUGGAGCAUGUGGUUUAAUUCGAAGCUACGCGAAGAACCUUACCAGGUCUUGACAUACUAUGCAAAUCUAAGAGAUUAGACGUUCCCUUCGGGGACAUGGAUACAGGUGGUGCAUGGUUGUCGUCAGCUCGUGUCGUGAGAUGUUGGGUUAAGUCCCGCAACGAGCGCAACCCUUAUUAUCAGUUGCCAGCAUUAAGUUGGGCACUCUGGUGAGACUGCCGGUGACAAACCGGAGGAAGGUGGGGAUGACGUCAAAUCAUCAUGCCCCUUAUGACCUGGGCUACACACGUGCUACAAUGGAUGGUACAACGAGUUGCGAACUCGCGAGAGUAAGCUAAUCUCUUAAAGCCAUUCUCAGUUCGGAUUGUAGGCUGCAACUCGCCUACAUGAAGUCGGAAUCGCUAGUAAUCGCGGAUCAGCAUGCCGCGGUGAAUACGUUCCCGGGCCUUGUACACACCGCCCGUCACACCAUGA